rnacentral:rRNA from 1 species
UACAGAGGUCCCGAGCGUUGUUCGGAUUUAUUGGGCGUAAAGGGUGCGUAGGCGGCGGAGUAAGUUGGGUGUGAAAUCCCGGGGCUCAACCUCGGAAUUGCAUUCAAUACUGCUUCGCUCGAGUACUGGAGAGGAGGCUGGAAUUUACGGUGUAGCAGUGAAAUGCGUAGAUAUCGUAAGGAAGGCCGGUGGCGAAAGCGAGCCUCUGGACAGUUACUGACGCUGAUGCACGAAGGCCAGGGGGAGCAAACGGG